UGUGAUUAAGAUUCAUGUGUCAUUCUGUUGGUUGGUAGUUAAUCAAAUUAAUUAUGUUUUUUUACUUAAAUUUUAUUUUCAGACUGCUUUUUUUUUUUUUUUUUGUAACCAAGAGUUAGUUUAGAGACAGAUGAAAUAUGUUUUGUAUUUUUGUACAAGAUAUCUUUUUCAUUUUCUUAAAGUAAUUCUAAAUCUUAUGGACACAGAAUCGAAAUAAGGUUGGGGACACAAUCCAAAGAAAGAAAUAAAAGUACCGUUUUCA
rnacentral:lncRNA from 1 species